UGAAAGUCCAACCUUUAUUGUAUAUCCCUUUCUCAUGCUUUCUCUCUCUAUAUGCCCUCUCGGGGUUCUCUCUCCCUUUUUCUUGCAGGAACCUUUCAUAUCCAAGAGAAAUGGUUCAUAAUUCAUACUAAUCAAAGAAAAGGUUCCUUAAAAAGAAGAAGAAGAUUUGGAGGAGAAGAAGAAGAUUUGCAUGAAGUUUUGUUUCCCCUUUUCUCUCUUUUUUCCCCUAAAAUUAUGUCUUUUUUCUAUAUGAUGCAUCAUUAUCUAAUGUAUUGAGAAAAUUAAUUUAAUGUGCUAAAUUUGUAUCUCAAUAAAAUCAAUAUAGCAAAUGAGAGAGUUUUUCUCUUAUGAAUUUUUCA